rnacentral:rRNA from 1 species
UACGUAGGGGGCAAGCGUUGUCCGGAAUCAUUGGGCGUAAAGCGCGCGUAGGCGGCCCUGUAAGUCCGUUGUGAAAGUCAAAGGCUCAACCUUUGAAAGCCGAUGGAUACUGCAGGGCUAGAGUCCGGAAGAGGCGAGUGGAAUUCCUGGUGUAGCGGUGAAAUGCGCAGAUAUCAGGAGGAACACCAAUGGCGAAGGCAGCUCGCUGGGACGUGACUGACGCUGAGACGCGAAAGCGUGGGGAGCAAACAGG